GACGAACGCUGGCGGCGUGCUUAACACAUGCAAGUCGAACGAAGUGGCGAACGGGUGAGUAACGCGUAAUCAACCUGCCCUUCAGAGGGGGACAACAGUUGGAAACGACUGCUAAUACCGCAUACUGAUGGAGGGGAUUGAGUCUGAUUAGCUAGUUGGAGGGGUAACGGCCCUCCAAGGCGAUGAUCAGUAGGCGGUCUGGGAGGGAGGACGACCACAUUUGGACAUGGUACCGGGCCCAACCCCUACGGGGAGGAGGCGUGGGGGAUCAUCCGCAAUGGGCGAAAAUCUGGCGGAGCAACGCCGCGUGAGUGGUAACAGCCUUCGGGUUGUAAAGCUCUUUUAAUCGGGGCGCGGUACCGAAAUAGAAAGCCACGGCUAACUACGUGCCAGCAGCCGCGGUAAUAC
rnacentral:rRNA from 1 species